AUGAUAAGUCACGCGGUACCACGCCGACGCCCUCCGCGACGCCUCCGCCUUUGGGCGGUUCGUGAACCAACCCUGCACCUCCUUGUGCAGGCCAUCCACCGAGUCGAUGAUGCGGUCCUUCAUCUCGAAGUACCUCUUGUUGUCCUUCUUCAGGUACAGGAGCCUGUUCCGGAUGUUGCCCGUCAGGAUCUCGUCCUCGUGCUCCGCGCCAUAGUAGCUCAUCAGGGUGCUCAGCUUCUCCGCGUACAUGUCGUAGCACUCCUCCGCGGAUGCCAGGAAUUCCUCGAAGCCAGGGACCUCUAG
rnacentral:rRNA from 1 species